rnacentral:lncRNA from 1 species
UCGGUAACCGUGUGGCGUCGGUAGGAGGUAGAAAACGAAGAAGCUUCGAAAAGUCGCGGCUUGACUUGCUCGAGGCGAAAGAAGAGAGCGUGUAGGCGCGUUAGGAAUGUAACAUCUCGAAAACGUUGUGUGCCAUGAUCGUAAAGCAUCGCGUGGGUCUUUUCGAGGCUCGGACGCGCAAGGGGUUGUGUGCCAAGCCUCUGGAUGAAAUAAAUCCGUUCGCUCGGACGUCGAGGGAAUCUUUUUUACCCCAUCGUAGAUCGGUCGACGAUCGUUUAGGAUUCACCCGCGUAGGUGGCAUGGAGACUGACUGACGACCUUGUAAAGAACAUCCACAAUAGCUUAUUAGUGAGUUAUAGCCGCUAGAAUUCGUCCGUUUCAAAAAAGUUGACAUUGAGUUAUUAGAGGUUAUAGUAGAUAGAUACUUCGGAACCGUAUUUCUCGCGAGUAACUAUGCGCAGACUGCCGAUAAGAAAUGUAUAUAUUAACGGAUAUAUUCCAUUUUAUUCGCUUUGUAACAUUUUUUGUUAAUUUUACGUAUGUACCGUGAAACUCGUUCGACGUCCAGCUCGGUUUAUCGUCAUCUCGAGCAAGCGUGUUUAUGGGAUCUUUCUUAAUGGCGACGGUCCUUGGCAUGCAUCGUUGACUUUUAAUUUCAAGUCGAUAUUUAUUUCGCGAGAAAAGCAAGAAAUCCGGUUCUCGAUGGCCGAACGGGAUUGUAACGACGCGUUUUGCAUAGAGGCGACAAUUAAAGGAGAAAAAAAAUGGAACCUGUUCUUGCCUCAGCGGUGGAUGCAGAGGAAAAGCAUCGGUGAUCGAAGUGAUCGAUAAAAUGAUCGGUUUAAUCAUUUACAUGAAUCAGAUAAACGCCACAAGAAAUGUCAGAAAAUACAUCGCCUUAAAUAUCAGUAACUUUUAUAGUUUAAUAAAUGCAUGGGCGGUAACGAAAACACACGGGUCAACGUGUUUAAGGGCCUAUAAUAGAGAGUUGACUUUUCGCCAAUCGACCCGAAACCUCUUGAUCGACGAGUUUGAGGCACUUUGGCCAUCAGCCAGUGCCGUUUUAGAAAGAUAUCCGGCCUGAUCGACUACGGGGACGUGUAUCGAUACCUCUCGAAUCAACGGGUCGCUUGUAUCGCGUGGAUCGUUCCUGGAAGGAAUCGAUAUCGAUACGGAACGCAUUUUAGAAUAGAAAUAAAGAUGGCGGAGAAGGCACGAAGGGAUUCUGAGGAAAUAAAAGCUCAAGUUCAGAAUAAAGUCAGCCAGUGAUCUCCGAGCGUGAACGUUGAAAUGGACCGAUUGAAGAGCGACUCGUCGAGGCCUCGUUUCGUUGCAAAUGCUUCCUACAUCAUCGCGCCAUCAUCUGGUUAGCUCGACGUAUUAAUAAUUGCGCGAUUGUGUAAUAAUCAAAAGCCGUGAGGGACGAUGGUGUAUCAUCCUCUCGAUCAAGAACGACACUCCACGCUUCAGCUAUAUUUAGUCGGUUGGAAUUGAAGAUUUUCUACAAACUUUCUUCCAUUGUUACUCAAGAUAUCAGAGGUACAUUUGAGCAGUAACGGCGGUAACAAAUAAGUGGUAACAAAUAAGCUGUUAAAGCGUUAGCAAACAAGCUGUUAUAGCAGUGGCAAAUUUGAAGAUUAAGAAGCGUUUUUGAAGGAACUAGGACGUGCGAUAAUUUACGGUCGCUCUUAUCAGCCCGUUAUCUCAAAUCUUUUCGAAAGUCGUCUCUGACAAAAUUCGAGAAAAGGAACGUAAAAAUCCUGCCGCAAAUACGUUGAGAAUGCACCAUCUUAUCAAAUAUAAACUGCACAUUCCGCUAAAAUUAUUGAAAACAUUCUUAUCUGUUUUCUUGUUUUACAUUAAGAUAAAGAAUUUUCUUUGGAAAUAUGUUGCGAAUGUAAGAGAGUCCAUAGAAAUUAUUUUUGGAAGUGAGAUAAUGUAGAAGAAGACAGUGUUUACAAGACCAAUGCACGAACGGCGAGGACAUACGGCCCUGAAUUUCAUUUCUCGUCCCUGAAGCCGAGACGUAGACAUUUAGUUACACGCCACGAAUGUUAAUCCCCCUGAUCGCGCCUCUUCCCCCUCUGGAUCCUCUCGAAUACUCCGGCGUAUACUGGGUGACAAAUUUUUGGGACUCGAGAAAGUUUCGGCCAAUUAUGCUAAAACGAGUUUAUUAAAAUCGGCUUUUAGCCGCAGGUUGCAGCCGUUGCGUAAGAAACACUUUCGAAGUCGAAAUUUAUUUCCGGCGAAAGAAAGCUAUCUCGGAAUUUUUUCGUAAGUAGAAAUCGAUUGCGAGACCCGGUUUCUACGAAUUUGAUCGACCUCGCGGAAUUUAGACGGUUUCGAAAAAAUUGAGAGAACGUGAAACUAACCUCUUACGGACGGUAAUCCAAUGACUGUUGGGAAAUCCUCGUAACCGACGUAUCGUAAUCGGACUCUGAUGCACGUAAGGGUACACCUGCAUAGGGUGUUCAAAACUCACCUGCAAAUUAUUCACAAAUAUUGUUACUCUUCAAAAAUUAAUCUUCAAACAUCCUUGCAGUUUAUAUAUAAGCUACAUGAAAAAUUUUACCUCUGAACUCCAGUGAAACUAAAAACUAAAAAUCUGUGGGAAGCGACAAACGAGAUCGGACAAACUACCGGCGGAAAAGAGGAAAGAGGGUAAAAUAAAGUGAAUAAAAAAAGGAAGGAUCAAGAAGCGACAGGGUGAGCCGUAAGAACAGUCGGCAAAAGCAAAAGGAGGGAGAGAAUGAGAAAGCAAAGAGUAAAAGAGGGAGAGCAGCAGACGGAAAGGUAGACAAGAAAGGCAAGAAAAAGAAAAGAGGGUUUUAUAAGAGGAAGAGGGGUGAAAGGAGGGGAAUGGAAGCAUGUGAUGGGCCGCAGGACGACUCGGCAGGAUACGCGACCAGCUGCCUCGUUAUUUUCAGGACUUUACGCUGGGACGAGCUCGGGAUUCGAUGAGAAACGUUAUGCCGGUUCCUCGAGCGAAUUAAGCCUCGAAAAUUAAUGAGAAUACCUAGGCGAAUUUAUUAUGUGUUCUCUUCGUUAUACCAAGAUUUCGAUGUCGAAAUGGAGGAGUUAUAAGCUUGAGAAAUUAAAUUUAACAACAUAGAAGCUUGAGGAAUUAAAUCUAAGAACAUAGAAGCUUGAGGAAUUAAAUCUAACAACAUAGAACCUUGAGGAAUUAAAUCUAAGGACAUAGAAGCUUCAGAAAUUAAAUCCAAUAAUAUAUAAGCUUCAGAACCGGUAGCUAAAGACAUGGACGCUCGAUAAGUGGACGCUAAGAACAUGGACGCUCGAUAAGUGGACGCUAAGGACACAGACGCUCGUUAAGUGGACGCUACGAACAUGACGCUCGACAAGGAGCUAAUAGGUCUUCAAAUAAUGCAAAUUAGGAAGAUAGAACCUUCAUUCUAUGAUUUCAAGGUGCUGUCAUACAACAUUGAAUCAAUCUUGUCGCUACCCUAACCUCAUUUUGAUAUAUACAUCCUUAACGCAUAAAACCUUGAAGUCUAAAACCUUGAAGCAUAGAAACGAGUAUAAAACUUGAAGUUACAUAACCUUUUUGAAGAAAAUCCCGACUCAACGUUUUUAAUAAUACAUCGAUAGAGUAAAUGAUAUUGUAAGGUAAUUGUACAUUCGAGUAUAGUUUAAAGGUUUCGCUAGUAGAAGCUAACACCCUCGCAGGGCGCGGCUCAAUCAAUUACUAUGGCGAGGGUGCGGUCGUUCUGCGCGAGUUCCACCCCUUGCAUGGCAACAAGCCUCGUGCAAGUUUUCUAUUUUACCGUGCAACUAAAAAAGUAUCAAUAAUAACAUUUUUGUUGAGCGAAGACAUUCGAAACAAAGAUACUUUCGGAAUACUAUUUCUAUCGAACAAUAUUAUCUUACUAAAUAGAUGUAUCUAGCGAAUAUUAUCUUAGGUUAGUUAUUUCUUCCUCGUUCAAACACUGACGUAACCGUCAAUCGUGAGAUCAAGAUUUUUCAAGGUUUCGCAGACCUUCGAAACUUUCCACGAUUACUAAUUUUCGACUCGAUGCUGAACAAUUAAGGGGAACCUUGGUUUCUUUGUCUCGAGCCCCCGAAUCGAUCAGUUCGAGUCCUACACGUGUGUUUCGAUUAUUUUUACUCGGGAUUGCCUCAUCGAAAGAUUUUAAAUAUACCGGGCGAAUGAUCUCUUUAUGAAGGUGCCAUUUCAGCAACCUUCUUGAAAAACUUCUUUUCUUCUCUUCUUAUUUUCUUCUUAUAGUUUGAAAGAAUAAAUGAUAGGUGAUUUCAAACUGUUUUAAUUAAAACUAAUUGCAUUAAUGAUUGCAGCAAUUCAUUUGAACUGUUGAAGCUCUGCAUGAAUUUAUGGAUGUGCAAAAUUUGUAACAAGAUGGACGAAUAACCUAACAUAACCCUUGUGAUGGAUGAAUAACCUAACAUAACCUAACAUAACUCAUACAUUGUGACUGGACAUUUUUUGGAGCUUAGAAAUAAUUAAGAUAAAUUAGUUUUGAAAGCUUUCUCUCGCAUGAUAUACGACAAGGGACAACGAAAUCGGUCCCUGACGACGCCAUGUCUAAAUAUAUCCAGCCGUGACACUUGUUUCAUGUAAAUCAAGCCCGUGGACGACGAAAAAGCGGGGAAACGCGAGCGAUGCUGGAAGAAACGGGCAGACAACCUCGACAGACCAACUUGUCGCCUCCGGAUGACUCGGAUACUAAAAAUUCUUUUUUUAUAACGUGAAUCAAUUUUUGCGAAAACCUACGUAAUUUCAUCGUCUCUCGGCUAUUAAAGAUUUUAUCGUUGCCUGAUAAAUUUCUAUUUGCUUAGCUGCUAGAAUCUCUACAGACGGUUUUACAUUAUUUUUGGAUAUCGAUAUGGUUCAUCAAUUUUACCUACAUAGAUUGAUUAGUUAUCAGUUAUCUUGAGAGUUGGAACUUUGAUAAUUAACUAGGAAACAUUUCUGUUCAAAUAAUACUUGAAAUAUUAUACUUGUAAAGUUUCUUUAUUGCAAAGGUUUUUCAAUGUGAUUUGCACAUGUUUCAAAUACUUCACUACCUUACAUAAUAGUGUUCUUAUUAUCAGAAGUAUAUCGUAUAUUCAAUAGAGUGUUAAUUAGGGGACAUUAAAAUUGUUUUCGAGCACCUGAAUAAAUAUUUCGAUAGAAUGGUUUUGAUAGUCGAUCAAAAGAGAGAGGAAGAAAUGAGAGUGUUAACUUGAAUUUGGCAAUUCGAACCGAGAUUCGAUUUAAUCGUAUGAAAUUGAGAACAACAAGUUGAAAGUGCACGGAUAACUCUCGAGAUAAAUGGAGAAAUCACAAAGCUUGAUAUCGGGAAUUAUUGACGUGGGGUAAUAACGUAAAUUUUUUGCGAUUUUAUUGAUGUCGUUGUGAGGUAACCUUUUUAGAUAGCAACGUGGUAAAUUACGUUUUAAAUAAUUUACUAGUGGCAAAUUUAAUAUUAGUUAUUUUUCUGGGGUAGGAAAUUUGAUUUUAGUUAACUUACUACUUAUACUAAA